AGCAGUCGCCGCGGUAAUACGAAGGGUGCAAGCGUUACUCGGAAUUACUGGGCGUAAAGCGUGCGUAGGUGGUGGUUUAAGUCCGUUGUGAAAGCCCUGGCUCAACCUGGGAACUGCAUUUGAAACUGGCAAGCUAGAGUCUUGUAGAGGGGGGUAGAAUUCCAGGUGUAGCGGUGAAAUGCGUAGAGAUCGGGAGGAACAUCAGUGGCGAAGGCGGCCAUCUGGGACAACACUGACGCUGAGGCACGAAAGCGUGGGGAGCAAACAGGAUUAGAUACCCCUGUAGUCCCUGUCUCUUAUACA
rnacentral:rRNA from 1 species